rnacentral:rRNA from 1 species
CUGCCUGGUAGUGGGGGACAACGUUUCGAAAGGAACGCUAAUACCGCAUACGUCCUACGGAGAAAGCAGGGACCUUCGGGCCUUGCGCUAUCAGAUGAGCCUAGGUCGGAUUAGCUAGUUGGUGAGGUAAUGGCUCACCAAGGCGACGAUCCGUAACUGGUCUGAGAGGAUGAUCAGUCACACUGGAACUGAGACACGGUCCAGACUCUACGGGAGGCAGCAGCC